rnacentral:rRNA from 1 species
AUUGAACGCUGGCGGCAGGCCUAACACAUGCAAGUCGAACGGUAACAGGAAGAAGCUUGCUUCUUUGCUGACGAGUGGCGGACGGGUGAGUAAUGUCUGGGAAACUGCCUGAUGGAGGGGGAUAACUACUGGAAACGGUAGCUAAUACCGCAUAACGUCGCAAGACCAAAGAGGGGGACCUUCGGGCCUCUUGCCAUCGGAUGUGCCCAGAUGGGAUUAGCUAGUAGGUGGGGUAACGGCUCACCUAGGCGACGAUCCCUAGCUGGUCUGAGAGGAUGACCAGCCACACUGGAACUGAGGACACGGUCCAGACUCCUACGGGAGGCAGCAGUGGGGAAUAUUGCACAAUGGGCGCAAGCCUGAUGCAGCCAUGCCGCGUGUAUGAAGAAG